UAUAUAAACUCUUUUUUGUUCUUAGAAAAUGGAGAGUUAGAUGCAAUAACAACUCUUUAUAUCAAAAGAAAAAGAAAAAUGACUAAAUGGGUCAAAACAAUUACCACUCCAUUCAGAAAAGCUAGAACUUUUUUCAAUAAUAAUCAACAAUCACCAAGAGAUUCACCAAGGGAAAAGAAGUCACAAGAAGAAGACCAAGAUAAGCAUGUGGUAGAUUUGCAAGGUGAAGUAAUGGCUUGUGGAUAUGAAGAUGUUCAAGUGAUGUGGUCAAUUUUGGACAAAUCCAAGGCCAUCAGAACAUGAAUCUUUGUUCUAUUUGGAGCUAAUUAAUUAAAUCAAGGCACAUAUUGUACAUAUUUUAUCAUCAUCUUGUUCAUGUGGUGGCUAAAUUGACGCCCAAAAUGCAAGAUUUUGAAAAUUUUGAUGAUGUUCUAUACAUAACAACAACCUUACCCCCCCCCCCCCCCAAAAAAAAAAAAAAAAAAAAAAAACUAAAAGAAGAAAAAAAGGAAAUAGCACAUACCCAAGAUUACUAUUUUUUGGCUAAUCCCCAUGAUCAAUGAAGAUCAAGGAAAGAUUCACUGUAUUUGAUUUACAUUUAAUUCUAGAUUCAGUAAUCAAAUAUUCAUUUAUUUUA